UACGGGGGGAGCAAGCAUUGCUCGGAAUUACUGGGCGUAAAGGGCGCGUAGGCGGGAUGGCAAGUCGGUCGUGAAAUCCCUCGGCUCAACCGAGGAACGUCGAUCGUUACUGCUGUUCUUGAGGAUUGCAGAGGAGACUGGAAUUCCCGGUGUAGCGGUGAAAUGUGUAGAGAUCGAGAGGAACACCGAUGGCGAAGGCGGGUCUCUGGGCAAUUCCUGACGCUGAGGCGCGAAAGCAUGAGGAGCAAACGGG
rnacentral:rRNA from 1 species